UACGUAGGGUGCGAGCGUUGUCCGGAAUUAUUGGGCGUAAAGAGCUCGUAGGCGGUUUGUCGCGUCUGCUGUGAAAACCCGGGGCUCAACCCCGGGCCUGCAGUCGAUACGGGCAGACUAGAGUGCGGUAGGGGAGACUGGAAUUCCUGGUGUAGCGGUGAGAUGCGCAGAUAUCAGGAGGAACACCGGUGGCGAAGGCGGGUCUCUGGGCCGUAACUGACGCUGAGGAGCGAAAGCGUGGGGAGCGAACAGG
rnacentral:rRNA from 1 species